AGUGAACGCUGGCGGUAGGCCUAACACAUGCAAGUCGAACGGCAGCACAGUAAGAGCUUGCUCUUACGGGUGGCGAGUGGCGGACGGGUGAGGAAUACAUCGGAAUCUACUUUUUCGUGGGGGAUAACGUAGGGAAACUUACGCUAAUACCGCAUACGACCUACGGGUGAAAGCAGGGGAUCUUCGGACCUUGCGCGAUUGAAUGAGCCGAUGUCGGAUUAGCUAGUUGGCGGGGUAAAGGCCCACCAAGGCGACGAUCCGUAGCUGGUCUGAGAGGAUGAUCGGCCACACUGGAACUGAGACACGGUCCAGACUCCUACGGGAGGCAGCAGUGGGGAAUAUUGGACAAUGGGCGCAAGCCUGGUCCAGCCAUACCGCGUGGGUGAAGAAGGCCUUCGGGUUGUAAAGCCCUUUUGUUGGGAAAGAAAAGCAGCAGGUUAAUACCCCGCUGUUCUGACGGUACCCAAAGAGUAAGCACCGGCUAACUUCGUG
rnacentral:rRNA from 1 species